rnacentral:rRNA from 1 species
GACGAACGCUGGCGGCGUGCUUAACACAUGCAAGUCGAACGGAAAGGCCCUGCUUUUGUGGGGUGCUCGAGUGGCGAACGGGUGAGUAACACGUGAGUAACCUGCCCUUGACUUUGGGAUAACUUCAGGAAACUGGGGCUAAUACCGGAUAGGAGCUCCUGCUGCAUGGUGGGGGUUGGAAAGUUUCGGCGGUUGGGGAUGGACUCGCGGCUUAUCAGCUUGUUGGUGGGUAGUGGCUUACCAAGGCUUUGACGGGUAGCCGGCCUGAGAGGGUGACCGGCCACAUUGGGACUGAGAUACGGCCCAGACUCCUACGGGAGGCAGCAGUGGGGAAUAUUGCACAAUGGGCGGAAGCCUGAUGCAGCAACGCCGCGUGCGGGAUGACGGCCUUCGGGUUGUAAACCGCUUUCGCCUGUGACGAAGCGUGAGUGUCGGUAAUGGGUAAAGAAGCACCGGCUAACUACGUG